UCCUCCAUAGCUCAAUCGGCAGAGCAUCUGACUGUUAAUCAGAGGGUUCUUGGUUCAAGUCCAAGUGGGGGAG
rnacentral:tRNA from 1 species